rnacentral:rRNA from 1 species
CACCAGACUCCUACGGGAGGCAGCAGUGGGGAAUAUUGCACAAUGGGGGGAACCCUGAUGCAGCGACGCCGCGUGGGUGAAGGAGUAUUUCGGUAUGUAAAGCCCUAUCAGCAGGGAAGAACAAUGACGGUACCUGACUAAGAAGCACCGGCUAAAUACGUGCCAGCAGCCGCGGUAAUACGUAGGUGGCAAGCGUUGUCCGGAUUUACUGGGUGUAAAGGGAGCGUAGACGGAUGGAUAAGUCUGAAGUGAAAGCCCGCGGCUCAACUGCGGGACUGCUUUGGAAACUGUGCAUCUUGAGUACGGGAGGGGCAGGCGGAAUUCCUGGUGUAGCGGUGAAAUGCGUAGAUAUCAGGAGGAACACCGGCGGCGAAGGCGGCCUGCUGGACCGAAACUGACGUUGAGGCUCGAAAGCGUGGGGAGCAAACAGGAUUAGAUACCCUAGUA